rnacentral:rRNA from 1 species
UACGUAGGGUGCGAGCGUUAAUCGGAAUUACUGGGCGUAAAGCGCGCGUAGGCGGCUUUGCAAGUCGGGUGUGAAAUCCCCAGGCUUAACCUGGGAACUGCAUUCGAGACUGCAUUGCUAGAGUAUGGGAGAGGGAAGUGGAAUUUCAGGUGUAGCGGUGAAAUGCGUAGAUAUCUGAAGGAACAUCAGUGGCGAAAGCGACUUCCUGGACCAAUACUGACGCUCAUGUGCGAAAGCGUGGGGAGCAAACAGG